CUUCCUGCUCUGGCUCUACAGGUGUCCAUCAUAGGAUGCAAUCCUCCAAGCCCGUCCUCACUGGCCUCCUGGCCCCCGUCUCGUCACCCUCCAAGUUGCUGCUAUGGACACAGAUCAACCUCUGGGUGCAGCGCACCUGGCAGUGAGGUGUCAAGCGAGCCUUCAACCUCUCCCCACAUCAAUUUUCUCACCUUGACAUUGGGGAUCAGAGUGCCUAUUGUGUAUCCACUCAUCCAUUCAUUUCAAGCAUGUUCAUGGAGCACCCAUCACAUGUCUUCCAAGCAACGACAGAGGAGAUGUGAGGACCGACUGUAACAACCUAAGAAAGCACUGAGCAAAUGAGAGAUGCUCCACAUAUGUGGCUCUUUCACUUUCUCUUCUUUCCCAAAACACCAGUUUAUAAAUCAGCAUCACAGCUCCAAAGCCUCUGUGUGUCUUUUCCCCUGCCAAGGAUAAAGUCCAUAUUUCUUUGUUGACCUUUAACAUUUAAGAUAUCUAAGACAAAUCUAUCUAUCUAUUUAUUUAUGAAAAUUUAAGCUGUA
rnacentral:lncRNA from 1 species